rnacentral:rRNA from 1 species
ACCAUGCAAGUCGAGCGGUAGAGAGAAGCUUGCUUCUCUUGAGAGCGGCGGACGGGUGAGUAAUGCCUAGGAAUCUGCCUGGUAGUGGGGGAUAACGCUCGGAAACGGACGCUAAUACCGCAUACGUCCUACGGGAGAAAGCAGGGGACCUUCGGGCCUUGCGCUAUCAGAUGAGCCUAGGUCGGAUUAGCUAGUUGGUGAGGUAAUGGCUCACCAAGGCGACGAUCCGUAACUGGUCUGAGAGGAUGAUCAGUCACACUGGAACUGAGACACGGUCCAGACUCCUACGGGAGGCAGCAGUGGGGAAUAUUGGACAAUGGGCGAAAGCCUGAUCCAGCCAUGCCGCGUGUGUGAAGAAGGUCUUCGGAUUGUAAAGCACUUUAAGUUGGGAGGAAGGGCAUUAACCUAAUACGUUAGUGUUUUGACGUUACCGACAGAAUAAGCACCGGCUAACUCUGUGCCAGCAGCCGCGGUAAUACAGAGGGUGCAAGCGUUAAUCGGAAUUACUGGGCGUAAAGCGCGCGUAGGUGGUUCGUUAAGUUGGAUGUGAAAUCCCCGGGCUCAACCUGGGAACUGCAUUCAAAACUGUCGAGCUAGAGUAUGGUAGAGGGUGGUGGAAUUUCCUGUGUAGCGGUGAAAUGCGUAGAUAUAGGAAGGAACACCAGUGGCGAAGGCGACCACCUGGACUGAUACUGACACUGAGGUGCGAAAGCGUGGGGAGCAAACAGGAUUAGAUACCCUGGUAGUCCACGCCGUAAACGAUGUCAACUAGCCGUUGGGAGCCUUGAGCUCUUAGUGGCGCAGCUAACGCAUUAAGUUGACCGCCUGGGGAGUACGGCCGCAAGGUUAAAACUCAAAUGAAUUGACGGGGGCCCGCACAAGCGGUGGAGCAUGUGGUUUAAUUCGAAGCCACGCGAAGAACCUUACCAGGCCUUGACUCCAAUGAACUUUCCAGAGAUGGAUUGGGGCCUUCGGGAACAUUGAGACAGUGCUGCAUGGCUGUCUCCACCCGGGCCCG